UCCGUAGGGUGCAAGCGUUGUCCGGAAUUAUUGGGCGUAAAGAGCUCGUAGGCGGUCUGUCGCGUCGGAUGUGAAAAUCCAGGGCUCAACCCUGGACCUGCAUUCGAUACGGGCAGACUAGAGUUCGGCAGGGGAGACUGGAAUUCCUGGUGUAGCGGUGAAAUGCGCAGAUAUCAGGAAGAACACCCGUGGCGAAGGCGGCUCUCUGGGACGGUACUGACGCUGAGACGCGAAAGCGUGGGGAGCGAACAGG
rnacentral:rRNA from 1 species